GACGAACGCUGGCGGCGUGCUUAACACAUGCAAGUCGAACGGAAAGGCCCUGCUUUUGGGGGGUGCUCGAGUGGCGAACGGGUGAGUAACACGUGAGUAACCUGCCCUUGACUUUGGGAUAACUUCAGGAAACUGGGGCUAAUACCGGAUAGGAGCUCCUGCUGCAUGGUGGGGGUUGGAAAGUUUCGGCGGUUGGGGAUGGACUCGCGGCUUAUCAGCUUGUUGGUGGGGUAGUGGCUUACAAAGGCUUUGGCGGGUAGCCGGCCUGAGAGGGUGACCGGCCACAUUGGGACUGAGAUACGGCCCAGACUCCUACGGGAGGCAGCAGUGGGGAAUAUUGCACAAUGGGCGGAAGCCUGAUGCAGCAACGCCGCGUGCGGGAUGACGGCCUUCGGGUUGUAAACCGCUUUCGCCUGUGACGAAGCGUGAGUGACGGUAAUGGGUAAAGAAGCACCGGCUAACUACGUG
rnacentral:rRNA from 1 species